rnacentral:rRNA from 1 species
UACAGAGGAUGCAAGCGUUAUCCGGAAUGAUCGGGCGUAAAGCGUCUGUAGGUGGCCUUUUAAGUCCGCCGUCAAAUCCCAGGGCUCAACUCUGGACAGGCGGUGGAAACUACCAAGCUGGAGUACGGUAGGGGCAGAGGGAAUUUCCGGUGGAGCGGUGAAAUGCGUAGAGAUCGGAAAGAACACCAACGGCGGAAGCACUCUGCUGGGCCGACACUGACACUGAGAGACGAAAGCUAGGGGAGCGAAUGGG